AAUGAACGCUGGCGGCGCGCCUAAUACAUGCAAGUCGAGCGAGAAGACGUAGCAAUACGUUUGUAAAGCGGCGAACGGGUGAGGAAUACAUGGGUAACCUACCCUCGAGUGGGGAAUAACUAGCCGAAAGGUUAGCUAAUACCGCGUACGCUCCUUGGACUUCGGUUCAGGGAGGAAAGCGAUACCGUGGGUAUCGCGCUCUUGGUUGGGCUCAUGUCCUAUCAGCUUGUUGGUGAGGAACGGCUCACCAAGGCUUCGACGGUAGCUGGUCUGAGAGGACGAUCAGCCACACUGGCACUGCGACACGGGCCAGACUCCUACGGGAGGCAGCAGUAAGGAAUAUUGCGCAAUGGGCGAAAGCCUGACGCAGCGACGCCGCGUGGGGGAGUGAAGGUCUUCGG
rnacentral:rRNA from 1 species